AACUUUCAGCGACGGAU
rnacentral:rRNA from 3 species